UAGACUCUUCAAUCUAUGGUUCUACACAGAGAGAUAGAUAGUGAAGAGCUGUUAAUACAAGUAACAAGAUGCAAGAGUGUCUCCUAGUAGUGCUGCUGCUGCUGUGCAGUGUGUCAGGCUAUCCCAGUGGCCCUCCAGCUGCAGACCACUCCAGUGUAGUGUGCCAGGAGCUCAGCCCCAGCCUACAAGCUCAUGGACCCCCACACAGUGGACAUGGUGGAUACCUGCUCCGGUUGCAACCUCCACUCACUAAAGUUGGACAAGCCCUUCACUAUGAGCCUGGAAUGGAGUACAAUGUGGAGCUGGUUGGUACGACUCACUCCUUUAAAGGAUUUAUGAUACAAGCUCGAGACCCUGCGACGCCUCCUCCUUCUGUUCCUCAUCUGAUUGGUCAGUUCACAGCCGUCAAUGAUGGAGCAAAGACCCUCAACUGCGACCAGGGGGGCGUGUCUGCUGGGGCCACUGUGGCUCAUAGCAAUGCCCUCCCCCGCUCCGUAGUGCAGCUCACGUGGACAGCACCACUGAGCAACGGCACUGUGGACUUCUUCUACACAGUGGUGAGAGAGAAGGCUGUCCACUUUGAUCAGCUCAGUGCUGCUCAAUUGGGACCACCCCUCUUUAGCAAUGCCCCUAGCAACACUCUUCCACCAAACAAAACACCAGACAAGUAUCGGCUCCAGUUUCAAAAUCCACAGAAUUGUACCAUAAUUGGCGACUGCAGUGUGUACGUUGCCAUAGAUACUAAUCGUGGGAACGACAGUUGGUUGGAUAUCUACAUGGAGGGAGAAGCAGAAGGAUGGGUGGGUGUCGGCUUUACCAAGGCUCCGCACAUGAUUAAUGCUGAUGUAGUGGCUUGCAAUCUGCUGGGAUACAAGAUGGUGGUGCUAGACUUGUUCAACCCGUCUUACACUAGCCUCACUGACGAGAUACAGGAUGUAUAUCUGUUUGAUGGGAAGUACAUGGACGGGCGGCUCUCUUGCACAGUCAUCAAGCGUAUCCUACCAUCAGACGAGUUUGACAUUGACCUCGACCAAGACCUCUACGUUCUGUACGGCAAGCGAUCAAAGAAUGUUACUUCUCCUCUACACACUAUUGACCCUCACGAUUCUGACCCUUUGAUCAGUAAAAAAAAGAUAAAUGUUGCCCAUGACAACGGAUCAGCGAGUGGAGAGAACGAGCUCUUUAAAAAUGCACUCGUGAAGACUCAUGGUGCACUCAUGUUAGUGACAUGGCCGCUACUAGUCGUGACUGGCAUAUUCUUCCCCGUGUUUAUGAAGCCGGCACUACCUGGUGGAGGAUGGUUUAAGAUCCACCGUGUUCUGAUGCUGACGUCUGUGGUUGUGGGGGCUGUUGGUUUCGCCGUGGUGUUUAUCGCUCAUAUCCAUGAGUCCAUUCCUGGUCUUAUUCCACUCGGUCAGGGGAAGGUGCUCAGAACGUCUCAUUUCUCUGUGGGGGUAUUAGGGAUGGCCCUGCACCUGAUCAAUCCGAUCAUCGGUAUCCUGCGAUGCAGCUCAGACAACCCCAGGAGGUGGAUAUUUGACCUCCUCCAUGGGAAGGUGGUGGGCCUCUUCUCUCUACUGCUAGCACUUGUCAACAUAGCCAUAGGUGCUUAUUUGCUGGACCCCACUCGCGUAUUCUGGGUGGUGGUGGCUUGGGAGGCAGUGUUCUUGGUAACUGUACUCAUACUGUUGACCAUGUUCUCAUGCCUAGCAGCAAGGUCGCCCCCAAAAGAAUCAACUUCACGAGCUCCGUCACCAUCAAACGUUCAGGUACUGUUCAAGACGGAAUCUGCCUUCGGGGGAUGUAUUAAAUUAUUACGGGGCUGUCUGAAGAGAGAGCGACAAGAAAAAACUCCUCUGAUUACCAACACUGUGACUGGAUAUAAAAAACUGCGUUGGGCUAGUUUCUACGUUCUUAACAUCGUUUCUGUAGCACUGGUAGUGGCUGCUAUUGUGCUGAUUGCUCUAACAAAACUUACCACAUAAAACUUUUUUUUAUGGUGUCUGGAGAUAACAAUUGAACUGAGUAAUUGAAUUGAGUUGGAUUUUUUCUUGUAUCAGUAGCGCUUAGAUAUCAAAUUCAUUUUUAUAAUUAUAAUUGUUCUACGCAUAAAGUACAAAAAGGACGAAGACCGAAUACAUUUUCCCCAACAAGGCUAUACUCGUAUUGUUGGUUUGACAAAA